rnacentral:rRNA from 1 species
GGCAGCAGUGGGGAAUAUUGGACAAUGGGCGAAAGCCUGAUCCAGCCAUGCCGCGUGUGUGAAGAAGGUCUUCGGAUUGUAAAGCACUUUAAGUUGGGAGGAAGGGCAGUAAGUUAAUACCUUGCUGUUUUGACGUUACCGGCAGAAUAAGCACCGGCUAACUCUGUGCCAGCAGCCGCG